UCUCCUCCAGUUAUGGCUAUAAGCAUAGCCUUCUCUUUUGAGCCAAGUGUUGGAUUCUGUUGCGGCGUCCUCUAGUUCGCUUGGUGCAGGUCGGGAACUUUAUUCGACGAUUGCGUCGCAUUUUGCGUUAAAUUUGGGCUAACUAUGCCCUCCAAUCGUACAUCGUACAUAUGCGAUUGCCGUUGUAUUUGGCGAAUAUCAGGUUCCUGCCUUGCAUCAACUGAAUCGGAGGCCGCGGUGAAUCAUUAUUCCCGGCCGGUUUAAUUCACGUGGACCUGCGAUUGAUAUGUGUCAUACCUGCCAUAUAUGGUUAUAUAGACUGAUGAAGGGCUCGUGUUGGUUACAAACUCUGAUGUUUUUGGAUUAGUUUUCGGCUUGGUGUUGAUGGCAUGAACUAAGGUGUGCAAAUUCUUUACUUCCUUAAACUGUUUCAGCCUUUCAAACUCUUGAGCCGAACUUGAGCCAUAAUCGUGCAAGUUCGUGUGAAUCAUUUUUUGGAUAUUUUUUCAAGUGAGUAACGACUUGCAAAAAUAUACCAACUUGUUAAUUUCCACUUAUUAAAAUACUAAUUGUAGUUGCUGUGAACAAAUCUUGUGAUGAUCUUUGCCAUCUCCAAUGUCUCAUUGAUGAUCCACCGGCCUCCUUCAUGAAAAGGCUGAGCUCGUAUGUGAUUAUCUGCACGACGUUCUGGAGUCCCAACCUCCACCACGAAGAAGGUCUGCAUAGCAAUCAGUUGUGUCAGACGAGCAAAGACAAUCCACCAAAAUAUUCACAAAAGUUUGGUCGUUGGCAUCCAUCCAUCCAUCCAUCCAUCCAUCCAUCGAGCAAGAUGCUACAGCUAGUGUCCGCCCUUUUAACUCCUCAGACAGUAGGAGCUUGACACUGCAUCCUCAUUGAGUGAAAAAGAGAUCAUGUUCUGAAAGUUUGGUGAAUUGGCAGCAUAUGAGUCAAGUCCAUUCUCGUAAAAGAAUCUACGUAUGUGCAAUCUGGCUUCCUUGAUCAAUGGAUCAUUAUCGGCGGCGGUGGCAGUGAUCCGUGAAAGACAAUAUUAACGUAUUAAAUUGUGUAAAUGAUUCGAGUCAAUUUAAGUUGAAUUGGAAUCAUUCAUUUUGUGUGCGUUUAUUCGGUGUACCAACUCAACUUAUGCUAGUUAGAGUCGGUAAGUAAUAAUGAUAUAAUGAACGAGUUUGAGCAAGUUUUAUGAAGUGGCCCGUAAAAAUUCGCAUGAUUUAUGAUAAAUUUAGACUCAUGCACGAAAAAUCUUGUACGGUUUUGCUCCAAUUUUGCUCGAUUAUGCACUGUGUUAAUGAAGUGUGUUGUUCCCUUC